UACGGGGGGGGUAAGCGUUGUUCGGAAUUACUGGGCGUAAAGGGCUCGUAGGCGGCCAACUAAGUCAUACGUGAAAUCCCUCAGCUUAACUGGGGAACUGCGUGUGAUACUGGAUGGCUUGGAUUGGGAGAGGGAUGCGGAAUUCCAGGUGUAGCGGUGAAAUGCGUAGAUAUCUGGAGGAACACCGGUGGCGAAGGCGGCAUCCUGGACCAAUAUUGACGCUGAGGAGCGAAAGCCAGGGGAGC
rnacentral:rRNA from 1 species